UACGGGGGGGGGCAAGCGUUGUUCGGAAUUACUGGGCGUAAAGGGCUCGUAGGUGGCCAACUAAGUCAGACGUGAAAUCCCUCGGCUUAACCGGGGAACUGCGUCUGAUACUGGAUGGCUUGAGGUUGGGAGAGGGAUGCGGAAUUCCAGGUGUAGCGGUGAAAUGCGUAGAUAUCUGGAGGAAGACCAGUGGCGAAGGCGGGUCUCUGGACAGUUCCUGACGCUGAGGCACGAAGGCCAGGGGGAGCAAACGGG
rnacentral:rRNA from 1 species